GAAUCUCUGGUUUUAGACCUCUCAAAAACAUACGCGUCAUUCGUUCCUCAUUCUCCACCAAAUGAGGUGCAAACCUGGAUAACUCUGCGAACUUUGCCUCGUACUGAGACACCGUCAUGUUGUUCUGUUCGAGUCUAAUAAACUCUACCUCCUUCAUAUGACGAAUACUUUCAGGAAAGUACUUGUCAUUGAACAGUUUCUGAAAUCUUUCCCAAGACAUGUUAAGUGCGGCUGGCUGGGUACGCUUCAC
rnacentral:lncRNA from 1 species